AUGAGCACAUGUCAUUGGGUUCUCUCGAAGAUCACCUCCAUCUUCAUGAUCGAUCUUGUGCUCCCCUCACCAGAUCGGUCUCCGGCAGGCAAAGCAUCGUUGGACUGGAACACAAGGAUGAACAUAGCUGCCCGUGUGGCCAAAGGUUUAGAGUAUCUGCACCACAAAGGUGUGGUGUACCGUAAAUCCAUGGGUAGCUCGGAGAUGGCUACCACCCAAAGUUGUCCCAGCAUGGACUGGCAGACCUUGGACGGUUGCUUGAAGAGGAUAACAAAGGCUGGUGUACUAAUUUCUGGGGAAGCACUACCAUUGCCCCCGAGACAUGCAUUACCGGGAAGGUGA
rnacentral:rRNA from 1 species